rnacentral:rRNA from 1 species
UACGUAGGGUGCGAGCGUUAAUCGGAAUUAUUGGGCGUAAAGAGCUCGUAGGCGGUUUGUCGCGUCGGCUGUGAAAACUCGGGGCUCAACCCCGAGCCUGCAGUCGAUACGGGCAGACUAGAGUGCUGUAGGGGAGACUGGAAUUCCUGGUGUAGCGGUGAAAUGCGCAGAUAUCAGGAGGAACACCGGUGGCGAAGGCGGGUCUCUGGGCCGAUACUGACGCUGAGGAGCGAAAGCGUGGGGAGCGAACAGG